AGCCGCCUCUGUAUUCUCUCCACUCUCACACCAAACCCUAGUCGCCCAUGGAGACUCUCUCUUAUUCCUUCCUUAUACGAAUUCAUAUGCGGAUUCUACUUACCUUUUCUGCUAUUAUCACUUAGUUAUGGUGACUUUCGUUACCAUUAUACUUAUGGCAAGUUCGAUUCUCACAAAUCUGGCUUUGAUUCUAUGGUUCUGGGUGCGAUUGUGGUUCUAUACACUUAAGAAGAGAACAUUUCUCUUUUAUUUGGUGUGUCUUUGGUGAUUCUGCCAUGAUUGGGGCUGGUGAACGAUUUGCCCUAAGUCCGACUCCAACUAGGGUUCAGAGUUCUUACUUCCUCUAUUUAUUUUAAGUAUGCAUAUAAUAUUUUCUUUCUUUUUUGUGUUGAUUGAUUAUAUUUUCUUGUUUGUUCGUCCAAAUAUUUUUAUGGCGAUUAAUGAAAUUUUAUUAAUUACUGAGUAGCUGUACAAAACGAAGGCAAAACAAACUAGUUCAUGCCCCUCUCAAAAACUAUAUCCUAUGCAACUAGAAGCCUUAAAACAUCCAGACACCUAUAGUGGACGUCAAAACACCUAUAAUGAACAAAUAAACUCAAAUAAUUUCCUGUUGCCUCUAACUCUUAUACACAGAUAAGUCUUCAGGUCAUGUAGUAUUGCCUCCCUACUUUUGGCUUUGUGUUGAUACACCCGAUUAUUCUUCUCAAUCCAUAUUUCAUAUAUAACAGUAGCAAAGCAUGCCUUUAGUGGAACACCUGGUGCAGUUCUUCUUUUAGCUAUCUCAGAAACCCAUUGCCAUUCCAAUUCCCAAUUGGUUCUUUGUCACUUCAUCCUACUUAGCACAUCCUGCCAGAUUGAUCUUGAGUAAGGACCUUCAAAAAAGAUAUGCGAAGAGGUUUCUGGGCAGGAGUUACAUAACAUACAUACACUAUCCAUACUAAUGCCCCAACUCAGUAGGACAUCUUUGGUUCUUAUUUUACCGAGCAAUUCUAGCCAUAUAAUGAAUACUUGUUUAGGAGCAGUAGCAUUGUGACAAGUCAAGUUCUUCCAAGGAGCAUUUACUAUUGUACCUCUUAAAGUUUUAUAAGCAGCUGUAAUCUGAAACUUUCCCCUCUUGGUUAGCUGAGAACAAAUAUUUAGUUUCUGCCAAUUCUUUCUCAUAUUCAUUGUUUUCCUAAUCAUCCAUGAAGCCUGACUUGGCACCGCCUUUAUAUAGUAUGUAUGUAUCCAUGCGAUCCAUAAUUUCUCCUUGUUCAUCCAAUCUUACUAUAUAUAACCCCUUCCCAGUUCCCUUUCUAGGACCUAACAACUACUGCUACGACUACUAUUACCACUAUUGUUCUCUUAUUCUCACUCAUUCUAUACAAUUCUGAGACUUUAGAUUUUGGCCGGUUGAAAGCCAAGGCCACCGAAAUCCGUUCGUUAGCCUCCUCUAGUGCAAGCAUUGCUGGAGCCCACUUUGACUCUUGUGAACUUUGAAGCACUAGAGAUUUGGGGUUUCAUUGUUCUCAUGCAACCGCCACUAUUUCUGAGAUUUUGAGUUUCUCAUUCUUUGUUCGCCUUGUUUGCAACUGGUUAGUACUUCAUACCCUUGCAAUUCUACUUCCUUUUGUUUGUGUUUGUGAUACGUGCACUAGUGCUACUUGGAUUUCUUUGAGUUAAUGUAAUUACGAUAUUAUGCCACUUCGUAUACAAGCCUGUUUGUCUUAAUACUAUUCUGCAAUAGCUUCAACUCUGUUCAAGUCCUGAUUUUAACUCAUGCAUAGUUAGCUAAAUUGAUUCAUGGUGUUUACUUGGUUCGUAAUUAAACCUGAUUGAUAUUUGUCGCACCUUGUUUUGAUUUCUUGUACUAAAACCCUUAGGAAACUAUAUUCUUGCUCAGAAUUGCUCUCUUCAUGUUGAAUCGUUUAUGCAUAACUUGUUGUUUCUCUACAAAUCAUGUAAUAAUACUGUCUAAAUGCUUAGCCUAAUGUGCUCUCCUCCCACUACUAGCCUUAAUGCAUGCCCAUUAUAUGAACUGAAAACCUAGGUUCCAGCUGUCCGGCAAGGUUGUGAUGGUAUAUUUCCAGUUGUUGCAUUUUGAAGUGCAGCUUCUGUGGUUUGAGUUACAUGCGAUAAUAAGGUGGUCCCAAAAAGAUCUACGCGCAGCUGGUCUGUUACAAAAAGUGGUGGGUGGUCAAAAACAGCAAUCUUUGUGGAGUAUUCCAGUUUCUGCCUUUCUUAGCUAGUUUAUCUGCUAUAAAAUUUUGCUCUAUGAACGCAUGAUUAAUUGGAGGGUCAUGCAGCCUAUGGAGGAGGUGCCUGCAAUCAGAGAUAACAUUAGCAUACAUGGGAUUUUCUUUUUUUAACGGUGUAAUUACCUCAGCAGCGUCAACAUUUAUCUCAAUUGGUAUUACGUUCCAUUGGCCAACUAACUUGAGCCCUUGUAAUAAAGCCUACAGUUCUGCAUGUAUACUAGAAGUUUUGGUAAUGCCGCCAUUAUAGCCGAUAAUACAUGCUCCUGUAUGAUUACGAAUGACCCCCCCUCCAAUUCCAUAUUUCCUUGUGUGGACUAAAGCUGCACCAUCCGAAUUGAGCUUAUAGUGAUUGUAAGGGGGAGGCUCCCAUUUUGUAUUUCGCUUAGUAUGUUUGCUAUGAUAAUUACUAGCGAGAUAUGUAUAUUCGAUUGUCUGAUGGAGUGUAACGACCCGGCCGGUCGUUUUGAGUAUUAUAACUCUGUUCCCCCAUUUACUGCUCAAGUUAUGCAUUACAGUUGUUUUAUGACUCACCGGGUUAGUUGGUUCGGGUCUGGAAGGAUUUCGGAGUGAAUUGAGACACUUCGUCUCAUAAUUAAAAACCUAAGUUGUAAAAGUUGACCGGAUAUUGACUUAUGUGUAAACAACCUCGGAUUCGAAUUCUGAUGAUUCCAAUAGCUCCGUGUGAUGAUUUUGGACUUAGGAGCAUGUCCGAAAAAGUUUUUUGGAGGUCCAUAGUAGAAUUAGGCUUGAAAUGGCGAAAGUCGAAUUUUUGGGAAGUUUGACCGGGGGGUUGAAUUUUUGAUAUCGGGGUCAGAAUCCGAUUCUGAAAAAUUAUAAUAGGCAUGUUAUGUCAUUUAUGACUUGUGUACUAAAUUUGAGGUCCAUCGGACUUGAUUUGAUAGGUUCCGGCGUCGUUUGUUGAAAUUUGAAAUUUCAAAGUUCAUUAAGCUUGAAUUAGGAUAUGAUUCGUGGUUUUAGCAUUGUUUGAUGUGAUUUGAAGACUCGGCUAAGUUCGUAUGAUGUUUCAGGACUUAUUGGUAUAUUUGGUUGGCGUCCCGGGGGGCCCGGAUGAGUUCCGGGAUGGUUUCAGAUCAUUUUUUCUUGUUUUGCAACUGCUGGAACUGGUGUCUGGUAUUGUUCUUCGCGAACGCGAAGUGUCUCACCCGUUCACGAAGAAGGAUUUUAGGUUGCUGGGAUUUGCUCGUCGCGAAAGCGAUGAAGGAGACGCGAACGCGAAAAAGAGGCUGGGGACGCCUACGCAAACGCGAGUGGGCGGACGCGAACGCGAAGAGGAAAGGGAGCUGAGGGCCUUCCUCGCGUUAAGCCUUCGCGAACGCGGCUCGUGUCUCGCGAACACGAAGGGCAGAGGUAGGAAGGCAUCGCGAACGCGAUGAGGAGGUCGCGAACGUGAAGAAGGAAUCUUGGCAGCAAAUUUUUUGUGAUUCACGAACGCGAAACUAUGGUCGCGAACGCGAUGAAGGCAUUUCUGGGUAGAAUUAAAAGUUCCAAAACGGGGGUUUUGAGUUCAUAAUACAAAAUCGAAUUGGGAGCUCGGUAGAAGGCGAUUUUUGGAGAGAUUCUUGCGUGGGUGUUUAGGGUAAGUGAUUUUUUUCCAAUUUUUUUAAUUUUCAUGAUUAUGCCUUUGAAUCCAUCAUUUAAUGGAUGAAUUAAGUUGAACAAUUUAGAAAACCCUCUUGGUUUAAUUUGAAGAUUUGAGGGUCGAGUUGAGGUCGAAUUUUGAUAAAAUUGGUAUGGUUAGACUCGUGGUUGAAUGAGCUUUCGGAUUUUGUAACUUUUUUCGGGUUCCGAGACGUGGGGCCCACGGGCAUUUUUGAGCUAAAUUUCAGAUUUUGCUGGAAAAUUAGUAUUUUCUUAUGGAAUUAAUUUCAAUAAAUUUUAUUGACUAAAUCGAAUUAUUUGUGGCUAGAUUUGAGGCGUUUGGAGGCCAAUUCAUGAGGCAAAGGCAUAGCAGAGUAGAGAAUUACACUGUUUGAGGUAAGUAACAGUUCUAAAUUUGGUCCUGAGGGUAUGAAACCCCGGAUUAUGUGUUAUGUGAUUGGUUUUGAGGUGACGCACAUGCUAGGUGACGGGCGUGUGGGCGUGCACCCUUGUUUCUCCUUCCCUAUCCUUUUGUUUAUUGUAUUUGGUUUCAGAUUAUUAUUAUAGACCGGAUUUUUCCAGACAUGUAAUGUAUAGAUGCUCAUGUACUCAGUGAGAUCGGGUUUUGGGGAGUGUGUUUAUUUCUAAUGUUUGUGGGAUUUACUCUUAAACUUAAUUAUUAUGUUUUCAGUAUUUAAAAGAAAUUGUAGGUUAUUGGUGUUGUCGGCUUGCCUAGUUUUGAGAUAGGUGCCAUCACGACAUGUUAGGAUUUCGGGUGAUGACAUGGAGUAUGUGGUCUCUGGGAAUAGGAAUGUGUUUCUUAUCAAAAACAUUCGUGUUUCUUGUUUUCCAAAUAUUCCAUAGACAUAUUGGAAGAAGUGUUUGAGGAUUAAGCUUGUAAGGCAUUUGUCUAAUUUUACCAGUUAGAAGGGGUUGUAGCCAUUGUUUUGUCGUGGCUAAGGGAUGUAUGUAGUUUAUAAACUGUGUAAGACCUAAUCUUUCCCAAUUAGUAGUUGUAUUAGGACAAUGUAAAAAUAUGUGUGUUAGAGUUUACUGAGGCGUGUGGCAAAAAGAGCAAGCAAUAUCAUUUGAUAAUUCCAUUGUGCUGUAACUAACUUUCAGUGGGUAAUCUUCCAUGUCUUAAUAACCAUAUGAAGGACCUGACUUUUGGUGGUACCGGUAAUUUCCAGAUCCAUUUGAAGUUGCAUGGUGAACUGGGAUAGAGUUUAUGGAGUAGAGCACGAUACAUAGAACGGACUGUAAAAUGCCCAUUACUUGUGAGGCCCCAGAAUGUACAAUAUAAACAUGAAUAUUGUGGAUAAGGUCUAGGAAGGAUUGAUUAAUGAUAAAAGGAAAGGUAUUCCAAUCAGUAUUAAGGUUCCUGUAAGAUUGAAUGUUGGCAUUAUGGUGCUGGGCUGGGAGAGGCCAUGUAACAAGAGAUCGCAACGUGGUGUUUAUGCCGAUCCAAGGGUCGUCCCAAAAUUUUAUGUGUUGACCAGUGCCCACUCUCCAUUGAAGUCCUUGUUGACAGAAGGUCCAUCCCUUUAGAAUUAUUUUCAUCUUCCACUCACACAUGAUGGGUCAACUCUCAUUCCUAUUUUGUAACUUUUAUGCAUAACGACUAGAUUGUGUGACCAGUGCAUACUUCGAGAGUUUAUUGCUAUAUAUCUGCUAGGAAUAUAUAGCAUCUCCAUCAAUGAAACUUAAAGAAAAUUACAGUGUAGUUUUCUUGAUCCUUUUACCAAAUUCAUAUCCUCGCAAUCUUUUUAUCUAAAUUUUGAGUUC
rnacentral:lncRNA from 1 species